UACGGGGGGGGCAAGCGUUGUUCGGAAUUACUGGGCGUAAAGGGCGCGUAGGCGGCCUUCUAAGUCGGACGUGAAAUCCCUCGGCUUAACCGAGGAACUGCGUCCGAUACUGAAAGGCUUGAAUCCGGGAGAGGGAUGUGGAAUUCAAGGUGUAGCGGUGAAAUGCGUAGAUAUCUGGAGGAACACCGGUGGCGAAGGCGGCAUCCUGGACCGGUAUUGACGCUGAGGCGCGAAAGCUAGGGGAGCAAACGGG
rnacentral:rRNA from 1 species